GCGGGUGUAGUUCAGCGGUAGAAUGCUUCCUUGCCAAGGAAGAGGUCGGCGGUUCAAAUCCGCUCACCCGCUCCA
rnacentral:tRNA from 5 species